CAACAGACCUGGCAUCACCUGAGAAGGGAGAAAGGCUCUGACAUCACAGUAUGUGGUGGUGACAUCACAUCUCCUGAGCUCCGUGGAUAUGGGAAUUCUACUUAUCCCAUCUUUUCCCUCUCUAUCCCCAGAAUCUAGAGAAGCGGUUGGCAAAGCACACAGACACUGUCUAGAGCUCUGUGAAUGGAGUCACACAGUGCACAGCCAUGAAGACUUCAUCAUAAGGCAAAGUAGAGUCUCCAAGGCACAGAAUUCCAAGGCCAGACUAAGAAUUCAACUGAAUUUGACUACAGGGCUCCUUGAUUUUCAGAAGACACUGCUCUUCCUCCUUAGAGAGCUGGGCUUCCUGUUUCCUUGGUCCCGAUUUGCUGCCUGCAGUGAUAGAAUCCUCAGCCCACUGCAACGCUUAAAGCAGAGGUUUCCCACAGCGAGAAGAGAUAUUGCAUUUGGAGUUAGACAAAGGCGUAGGACCUGGGAGUCUGCUCGUUUAACCUGUGCCUGUGAAGAACCCCUCUUGGAAGCGCCACUUUAGUGAUCAAUUCAGAUCUCUACAGAUGCCCUCACAUUGUGUGUUCUUUGACAUGCAAAGAGAAGUUAAAAUUGCCUCAGAAAUUAUGAUCCCCUGGACACCUUUAACUACUGACUUGCAGGUGAAGUCCUGUGAAACUCACACUUGCUGGCAAAAGGUUGGAGUUACUUUUGGGGAUCAUGCAGGGCUGAAGCCAUCUUGAAAAGCACCAUAAGAAGAUCCCCCUCUAUCUGGACAACAAAAACCAGACUCAUAUUCGCAUCCUCACUGACAUUAGCCCCUCUAUUUCCUCAUGUCCUUUGUAGAAUAAACGCAUAAAGAUGAA